AAGGACGGAGAUGGCCGAGUGGCGGCGGGCACUGACGAGGGCGGAUGGAAAGGGCGGAGACGGAGCGGAAAGGUCCGAAGCUGAGCCGCUGUGGAGCGAUGGAGGCAGACGAGUGACGGAAGAGGCCGAAGGCCUGGGCGCGGGCGCGGGGGCCGCGUGGCGGGACGGCCGAGCGCGGGAGCAGAGGCUGAGCACCGGGCGGCCGCGCCGAGCGGUGCCGGGGCAGCUGGGGACGGGUCAGGAGAGAUGAAAGUCCAGUUCGGUGGCCAGGACACGGAGGGACAGAAGUGUGGACAAGAGGAACAGCACGUUCUCUUCCACGGUGGCUCUGCUGUCAGGGGCACCAUCGUGUCCGGGCCCUGCCCCCCCCCCCGGCCCCUGCCCCUCACCUGGAGGGUGCCAGUGUCCGGACCACAGACGUGCAGCACCCUGCCGUCUUCUGCACCCCAACCCUGCUGAGCCGCCACCACUCACGCUCACAGGCCCGGACGCCUGGACACACAGGACGCUGAGGACGGAGCAGCUGUUCUGGGGCCUGACGUCCACGGGAUGGAAACAGUGUCCCGGGUCCGAGUCACCUGAGCUCAGGAGACCCCGGGAGGGGCCGCACCACAUCCCACCCUAGAACAUACCCCGCACCAGAUGAGGCACCGCAGGACGACCUGAAGAGCUGGGGCUCCGCACCGUGACCGCCGCCCUCGGUGUCCCUGGCGCAGACGCAGCCGGGUUCACAGGAGCCUGGCCUUUGUAGACAUGGUGCAGAGCCACCAGAGUGCGCUCCACAGCUCGGUGCACUGGGCAGAGGAUCUGGGAUGGACCCCCACUUAGAGGAUCAACGCACAUUUGACCGAGAUACAGUUCAGUGUGGGAAAACAUGGUCCUUUACAGAAAGUGAUGGACAAAGCGGACAUCCAUAUGGCCACAAAGUAACACUGAUCCUUGUUUCACACUGGACAAUUCAAAGUGGUUCACGUACAUAAUCAUCGAAUCAAAGUCAAACAUACAGGAAGCAUAGGGUAAACUACGCCCCACGUGUGUCUGGAUGGGCACACACAAUGCAGAUACAAACUUGAAAAGGCCUUGAUAUGGAAGACACGCAGGACUGUUACCACAAUAAUAACACAAACAAGCCCCCAUGAUGAGGAAAACACUUGAAGACACAUCCCAAAAAAUACACGGCCACCCAAUAAGCACACGGAGAUGUUCCAUAUUAUCAGCCGUCGGAGGAAUCUGAACUGAAAGCGUGAGAUUCCACUGAACACCCAUGUGAAUGACUCUAGUUAAAAAGCCAGACGUGCUGAGUGUUGGGAAAGCUUCGGAGCAGUGGGAACUCGCAUAUGCUGCUCGUGGGAAUUGGUACUAACACUUUGGAAAACUCCUUUCAUCAGUUUCUUUUAAAAGUUAAGAUACAGGUGGUGCCCAGGUGGCCCACGUGGUUAAGUGCCUGACUCUUGGUUUUGAUUCAGGUCGUGACUGAUGAUCUGUGAGAUCGGGCCCCACGUUGUGCUGACAGCAGAGACGACUGGGAUUCUCGCUCUGCCCUGUCCUGCUUGUGCAUGCUCAUGUGUGUGUGCGUUCUCUCUCAUAAAAAAUAAAAAACGG